UAACAUCGGAAUUUGCCCAGUCGUGGGGGAUAACGUAGGGAAACUUACGCUAAUACCGCAUACGACACCGUGUUGAAAGAUGCGGGGUGAAAGCGGGGGACCUGUAAGGGCCUCGCGCGAGUGGAUAAGCCGAUGUCGGAUUAGCUAGUUGGCGGGGUAAAGGCCCACCAAGGCGACGAUCCGUAGCUGGUCUGAGAGGAUGAUCAGCCACACUGGGACUGAGACACGGCCCCG
rnacentral:rRNA from 1 species